rnacentral:sRNA from 1 species
AUGUACCACUUUACGUUCCGGCUCCUCCGAGCCGUCCACGCACACCUGACGACUGCCCGCUACGUUUUGCUAGCC